GUACAAAGGUAGCACAAUAACUCGCUAUUUAAUUAAUAGAUAGAAUGAAAGAAAAUACGUAAUUGUUCUCAAUACAACACUAUCACAAUUAAUUUACAAUUAAAAUAAAAAUAUUUUAAUAAAAAAGAAAGACGACAAGACCCUGUUGAAUUUAACUAAAAAGUUUAACUGGGGCAGUACUACAAUAAAAAUUUACAAGUUCAUUCAACCAAUCCAAAAAUUAAUUAGAAACAAAUUACCACAGGGAUAACAGCAUAAUUAUACUAUACAGCACAUAUAAAAAGCAUAGAUUAUGACCUCGAUGUUGAAUUAAUUUUUACUAUAAUAAGAAAUAUUAUUAAAAGAAGGUCUGUUCGACCCUUAAAAAAUUACAUGAU
rnacentral:rRNA from 1 species